UAUCCGCCCGGGUACUACGAGCGUUAGCUUAAAACCCAAAGGACUUGGCGGUGCUUCAGAUCCACCUAGAGGAGCCUGUUCUAGAACCGAUAAUCCCCGUUAAACCUCACCUUUCCUUGUAUUUUCCGCCUAUAUACCGCCGUCGUCAGCUUACUCUGUGAGGAGCUCGUAGUAUGCACAAUUGGCUUAGCCCAAAACGCCAGGUCGAGGUGUAGCGUAUGGAAAGGGAAGAAAUGGGCUACAUUCAAUAGCUAUAAUGAAUACGAAUGAUAUCAUGAAAAAAAUAUCUGAAGGAGGAUUUAGCAGUAAGCAGAGAAUAGAGUGCUCUGCUGAAGCUGGCCCUGAAGCGCGUACACACCGCCCGUCACUCUCCCCGAAAACAAAUCAACACAUCACUAAUCAACCAAAGCCAUAGAGGGGAGGCAAGUCGUAACAUGGUAAGCGUACCGGAAGGUGCGCUUGGAAAAACUCAGAGCAUAGCUAAAUAACGUAUAGCAUCUCCCCUACACUGAGAAGACAUCCGUGCAACCCGGAUUGCCCUGAAGCCCAAUAGCUAGCCCAACCCCCUAAAAAUAACAAACCACUAUUAAACAAGCCCUAACGCACCACACAAUGCAAAACAAACCAUUUUCCCCUCUUAGUAUGGGAGACAGAAAAGAGACUCGGCGCAAUAAAGAAAGUACCGCAAGGGAAAGCUGAAAGAGAAAUG
rnacentral:rRNA from 1 species